CGGGGCGUAGCGCAGCCCGGUAGCGCACUUGCAUGGGGUGCAAGGGGUCGCAGGUUCAAAUCCUGUCGCCCCGA
rnacentral:tRNA from 1 species